rnacentral:ncRNA from 2 species
AUGUAUCUUCAGGGCAGGGUGUAAUUCCCGACCGGCGGUUAUAGUCCGCGAACCGAAAGGUUGAUUUGGUGAAAUUCCAAAACCGACAGUAAAGUCUGGAUGGGAGAGGGUAUUA